rnacentral:rRNA from 1 species
UCGAGCGAGUCUGCCUUGAAGAUCGGAGUGCUUGCACUCUGUGAAACAAGAUACAGGCUAGCGGCGGACGGGUGAGUAACACGUGGGUAACCUGCCCAAGAGAUCGGGAUAACACCUGGAAACAGAUGCUAAUACCGGAUAACAACAGAUGAUGCCUAUCAACUGUUUAAAAGAUGGUUCUGCUAUCACUCUUGGAUGGACCUGCGGUGCAUUAGCUAGUUGGUAGGGUAACGGCCUACCAAGGCGAUGAUGCAUAGCCGAGUUGAGAGACUGAUCGGCCACAUUGGGACUGAGACACGGCCCAAACUCCUACGGGAGGCAGCAGUAGGGAAUCUUCCACAAUGGACGCAAGUCUGAUGGAGCAACGCCGCGUGAGUGAAGAAGGGUUUCGGCUCGUAAAGCUCUGUUGUUGGUGAAGAAGGACAGGGGUAGUAACUGACCUUUGUUUGACGGUAAUCAAUUAGAAAGUCACGGCUAACUACGUGCCAGCGGCCGCGGUAAUACGUAGGUGGCAAGCGUUGUCCGGAUUUAUUGGGCGUAAAGCGAGUGCAGGCGGCUCGAUAAGUCUGAUGUGAAAGCCUUCGGCUCAACCGGAAAAUUGCAUCAGAAACUGUCGAGCUUGAGUACAGAAGAGGAGAGUGGAACUCCAUGUGUAGCGGUGAAAUGCGUAG